ACCAAUCAGCGCACAGCUGUCAAUUAAUGCGAUGUAUUCGAAUGGCGACGUCUCCAGCCAGUCGCUCUGAUUCGUCUCAAUUAUUUCGCGAUGGCGGUCGUCUGAGGCGCGGGUGAUCUCUGAUAAUCGACGGGAGAUGAAAUACGGAGGAUUAUCGAUAAUCGAGAGGAAUUAUCGGAGGAAAUAAAGCAAGAAUAACGUCAGGAAACACCCGGCCAAGGCAUCUUGCUUUCCAGGAUGAACACAACCAAUCCACAGAGCCAGCCAUGGGAGGGCAAUAUCCAGAAACAGCUGUGGCAGCUGCGCUACGAAGACCCAACACAGUACCAGGCACUGGUCAAGAUGCACCUCUCCUUCGCUACAGACCUUCCUGUAGACGAGUGUGAUGGUCGAUUAUUCAAGCAGUCCACAAACCGAAAGUGGCAGCUGACUCCCCUCAUUCGUCGGUUGGGACGGACGACCGUUUCCACGAAGGGCGUGAUGGAAGGUGCCCCACUCACGCAGGAGGGCGUGUGUCAAGCGUUUCAGCUCAUACAUUUUCUUAACAAGG